rnacentral:rRNA from 1 species
GAGUUUGAUCCUGGCUCAGAUUGAACGCUGGCGGCAUGCCUUACACAUGCAAGUCGAACGGUAACAGGUCUUCGGAUGCUGACGAGUGGCGAACGGGUGAGUAAUACAUCGGAACGUGCCCGAUCGUGGGGGAUAACGGAGCGAAAGCUUUGCUAAUACCGCAUACGAUCUACGGAUGAAAGCAGGGACCGCAAGGCCUUGCGCGGACGGAGCGGCCGAUGGCAGGAUUAGGUAGUUGGUGGGAUAAAAGCUUACCAAGCCGACGAUCUGUAGCUGGUCUGAGAGGACGACCAGCCGACACUGGGACUGAGACACGGCCCAGACUCCUACGGGAGGCAGCAGUGGGAAUUUGGACAAUGGCGAAAGCCUGAUCCAGCCAUGCCGCGUGCAGGAUGAAGGCC